AGUGAACGCUGGCGGUAGGCCUAACACAUGCAAGUCGAACGGCAGCACAGGAGAGCUUGCUCUCUGGGUGGCGAGUGGCGGACGGGUGAGGAAUACAUCGGAAUCUACUCUGUCGUGGGGGAUAACGUAGGGAAACUUACGCUAAUACCGCAUACGACCUACGGGUGAAAGCAGGGGACCUUCGGGCCUUGCGUGAUUGAAUGAGCCGAUGUCGGAUUAGCUAGUUGGCGGGGUAAAGGCCCACCAAGGCGACGAUCCGUAGCUGGUCUGAGAGGAGUAUCAGCCACCCUGGAACUGAGACACGGGCCAGACUCCUACGGGAGGCAGCAGUGGGGAAUAUUGGACAAUGGGCGCAAGCCUGAUCCAGCCAUACCGCGUGGGUGAAGAAGGCCUUCGGGUUGUAAAGCCCUUUUGUUGGGAAAGAAAUCCAGCUGGCUAAUACCCGGUUGGGAUGACGGUACCCAAAGAAUAAGCACCGGCUAACUUCGUGCCAGCCGCCGCCGUAA
rnacentral:rRNA from 1 species